rnacentral:tRNA from 1 species
CCCCCUAUCGUCUAGAGGCCUAGGACAUCGCCCUUUCACGGCGGUAACCGGGGUUCGAAUCCCCGUAGGGACGCCA